CAGGUCCCAGGUGGAGGGACCACUGAGCCAGCCCGGGGCGGGGACUAGGCCUUGAGAGAGGGUCCGGGUGGCGUUUACAGGAGAAACCCCGCUGAGCCCUCGGGUCUGCCCCGUGAGAAUAGGUGAGACACAGGCCCUGCUGGCACCUGGGGUCGGACCUGCAGCCUCCAGAAGCCGAGAAAUAAAUGUCUUUUCUUGAGUCACCGCGUGCAUUGUAUUCUGUUACAGCGCCUGCCUGAAACGGUGUCAGUUGGGGAGAUGUGGCCUAGAGGACACACCCAGCGCUCGCUCCUUUCUGUGUCCUGUGUGUGCACGUAUGUGCGCGCCCUGUGCUCAGCGUCCAUCACUGGCGUGAUGUCAGCAUCAUCCAGGUCCAGCCACCAGGGGUUCGGGCCUCCCAAGGCCACUUUUCUGCAGACACUCACUUGGGGCUUCAGGGAAUACUGUUCCGCGGAUCGAGGCUCUGAUGUAAUUGGCCCAGGGCGUGCCCUCGGCACCGGAAUCGCAUAGAAGCACCCAGGUGACCAAUGUUCCGCCAGGACGGGAACAGCUGUGUCAGAACUCAAACACGCACUCCCCCCCCUUUUUCUUUAUUGGAUUUUUCUUUCUUUUUUCAGUUUAUUCAAAGCCUGAUCCUAUAAGGUUCGGGGUAAUAAUCUGUCCCCUUUGCCCUUGAGUUCUUGGCCUACUGUGUGUGGGGGAGGUGCAGGGAGAACUGACCUAGAAUCACAGGCCCCGGAUCCCGGGGCUGCCGGCCACCAAGGGGCUUUUCCAUCUUCUGCUCCGGGAGCUGUUCAGUCGCACCGGAGGGAGCCACACGCUGUAACAGGAGCUGAUCGUGCAUCUUUGCGAAUGUUAAACCGAUGGUAACUAAUUUAGAUGAGAAGAUGUAAAGAAAUAGAAGCAUUGGAACUUUUUAAUGCUUGACUCGCUGUCAAAACUCUCGUUUCUGUGGCUCUAACCCAAAGAGGAGAUGCUUGCCUCGGAUGACUUCCUGAGGGACCGGGAUGGCCACAGGUGUUUGCAGGAGGCCUCGGAAACGGCCGUUUUCAUAGACGUGAUCGUCAGCAGUUCACACGGGCGAGGCAACAGCAGCUGCUGCCCCCGUUGCACAGAUGAGAGAUCGAGCCUCAGAGCGGUGAGGGCACCAGGUCACAGACUGCGUGGUGGCACGUGGCCUCGUAUGGCGCUCUCCCAUCCUAUCUUCCUCGUUCACGUCUCCGGCCACACACACAGUCAUGUUCGCUCUGCUCUCAGCCUCUGGGAGCCUCAGGGUCCCUCCUUCAGCCCCUCCCCUUCCACAGGCAGAGGCAGGGCACAGCCUUACAGCAGGGGUUCCUUCCAGCCUGGCCGCCCUCCCCAAACCUAAGAACAGUGUCGUCUACUCCGCACGCUCAGCUUCACCUUCCAAAUGCCUUUGGCAGCUUUUUUCCGGACAGAGCAGAUUCUCCAUCCAGGGGCCUGUAACAGGGUUCGAAAUCCGUUUCCGACAAGCCGUUUGCUAGUAGUUACUGAAUCACAAAUCGCGGCUGGUUCUUGAGGGGAGCCCUUCCCUCAUGCGAGACCCCCCUUUUUCCUGGUGGCCUUUGGGGAUACAUUUCUGCAAAUGGGUGCCUCUCCCUGUUGUUGGGAAUCGAAGCUGGUAGAAACGUCAUUUUCUCAUAGACAGGUUGCUUUUCUUAAUAAAAAUAUUCUUUCUAAA